rfam:Helianthus annuus linkage group 7, whole genome shotgun sequence.
AUGAGGAUGAUGAAAAAAUCAGACGGAUUCCCAAUGAUUUUCUAAGGUGAUCUUACAACCAGCUACUUCUGACUCAU